ensembl:lincRNA Gm13832 predicted gene 13832
UUCGACCUUCAACGUGGCUGGUCUCCUCUCAGGUUCCUGGAAGGAGAUGGAGGGAGGUGAAACCUGAGAAAGGAAUACAGGGAGAGAGGUCGGCUCAACCCCGGGGACUCUUUCUUCCGGCCUUCUUCUGAGGCUUCUCAUCUUCCUCACAUUGGUACAAGAAAUCUUCAAGAAUGAAUUCUACCCUGUGUAAGUCAGUGACCCUGGCUGAGCUUUGUGGACGGAGCACCGUGACACCGGGGCAGAUCCUAGAGACACCUACAGGACCACCACUGUCCUCAAGAGCCCCAAAGGCCAGAUGCUAUCUGAAAUAAAACUGCCUGGCAAUGGCAUUGUGAACUUCCAGCACCUUCCUCACAGCACCGGAGUU